GUGUGCUAAACUGUUCCAGAUAACGAAGUAAGAGGAAUUUGGGGAUUGUUCACUGUCAGCCUCUUAGUGACCAGAGAAGAGACUAGGGAUCCGAACGAGAAAUGGGGGGAAAGAGAGACCUGGAAAGGUGGAGGAAGUCAAGGUCUAAUUGUGGACCCAAGCCAGUGAGAAGUUCCCCUCUCGACGGGAGGACUCAUCAGUUUGUAGGAACUGAGGCAUCUGACAUUCCACGUGAAGCUCUAUAUACCUCUCUUCCCCCAGCACCGGAGUGACACCUGUUACAGCCGCCGGAGGACUGCAAGUCUCCGAGGGAGGGAAGGGGGAAGCGUGACUUUCCUCUCCUGAGUGGUGAAGGGCAGAGAGAGGCCAGCCACCCCAGGAGACAAGAGGGCAAGUGAAGAAUGGCAUUCAGUGGAGGUGGGAAUGACAUGGGCAGUGAUCCCAAGAAUGGACAUCGGGAGAGGGCACUGGGCUUGAAUGAGAGCUCAGUCUCAUUUGAAUGCAAAAUAGAGGGAAACCCUGCAGGAUGGAGGCCUUCAGGACAUCUGGGCUCCAAAAGCAAGGUUAUUUUCCCAGAUUGCAGCCAUAUCCCACCACUGACCAUUGACUGACACUGUCGUCAGCCCUGCAGACUUCAAAUGUCCAGGAACCAUGAGCAAGUUUUGCUGAGGAGGAAUGAGGCAUGGGAGAGAGAGUGUUUCAGAGGAAAAGGCUCUGCAGUGAACACAUCAGGCCUCAAGCUGCGUCCCGGGGAACUUGCCCUCCAGGGAGUCCACAUGGGAGACAUCCUGCCCGGCAUAGCUACUAAGGCCUGCAAAGGGAGGUCCUGCCAGUGAAGAGACGAAGAGGGCCAGCACGAUGACAGGAUGGCCCCAGGGUGCUGGACAGCAUCGUCACCUGCCACACCUCCAGCUCAUCCUCCGGGUCCACACAGCCAGUCCUGAUGACUCAUCGGUCAGAGCUGUCCCCGUCCUCAGCGUCAGCCCUUCCCUCCUGACUUCGGUCUAAUGGCCUCCUUGCUUAAUUAACUUAACACCACUACCUCCCGUUAACAGGGCUUUGGCAUCAGUCACAAGCCCAGGAGUCUGUUUCUGGUUAAACCUCAACCCUCCUCUUCUACAAAGCCCCAGGAAAAUUCUAACUGGUCUUCGCAUCAAUCAGAGCCAUGCUUUCCCUUGGCAACGGGUUUAUUUUUACCCUACAGACACUGAGAGUCAAGGGAACAAUCAUGCUAUCAUGUUUCCUAUUCCCAUUGGCUGUUGGAAAGCUCAGAGCCAGAAUGUGGCAUGUCCCCAGCAGGUGCUGGGUAGAGGCGUGUAUCCUGUGUGGCAAUCUCACUCCUCGCUUCAUCAUACUUUCCCAUACUUAUUUUACCUUUCUUGUAUCUUUCCC